AGUGAACGCUGGCGGUAGGCCUAACACAUGCAAGUCGAACGGCAGCACAGUAAGAGCUUGCUCUUACGGGUGGCGAGUGGCGGACGGGUGAGGAAUACAUCGGAAUCUACUUUUUCGUGGGGGAUAACGUAGGGAAACUUACGCUAAUACCGCAUACGACCUACGGGUGAAAGCAGGGGAUCUUCGGACCUUGCGCGAUUGAAUGAGCCGAUGUCGGGUUAGCUAGUUGGCGGGGUAAAGGCCCACCAAGGCGACGAUCCGUAGCUGGUCUGAGAGGAUGAUCAGCCACACUGGAACUGAGACACGGUCCAGACUCCUACGGGAGGCAGCAGUGGGGAAUAUUGGACAAUGGGCGCAAGCCUGAUCCAGCCAUACCGCGUGGGUGAAGAAGGCCUUCGGGUUGUAAAGCCCUUUUGUUGGAAAAGAAAAGCAGCAGGUUAAUACCCCGCUGUUCUGACGGUACCCAAAGAAUAAGCACCGGCUAACUUCGUG
rnacentral:rRNA from 1 species